rnacentral:lncRNA from 1 species
GUUUUGUCUGGGGCUCGUCCUGCUACAUUUCUUGGUUCCCUGAACAGGAAGCGAGGUAACUGACGGACGGCCAAGGCAGCCCCUUGGGUGGCUUAGGCCUGCCCUGUGGAGCAUCCCUGCGGUGGACUCUGGCCAGCCUGAGUGACGCGAUCCAAAGAGCGCUCCCGGGUAGGAAAUUCCCCGGGUGGAACGCCUCGCCAGAGCAGCACGUAGCAGGCCCCCGAGGAGGAUUAACACACUGGCUGAACACUGGGAAGGAACUGGCACUUGGAGUCCGGACAUCUGAAACUUGCAACCCACUCUCUGUGCUAUGACUUCAUUACUCUUUCCCAGCCCAGCCCUGGGCAAGCCCCUUACGAAGUCUCAGGCUACCUGGAUGACCACCCUUUCUUAUGAUGCUGCAAGGAGGGCAGGUGGGCAGAGCCCCGUGCAUCCUGGGCUCAGGCCAGGGACCCAAGAGCUUGGGAGAAGCUGGUUCUCAGACUGAAGGCCAGAGCCCAGCACCUUGUCACCAUCCCGGGGAGCAUCAUGGCACACAACAACCAGAGCCAAGGGGAAAACCUGCCAGAUUCCCCAGGAAGGAUGCUUGGAGGUGUGCAGAGAAGUCUACAUUCCCAUGUCAAGCUACAGCUAGAGAGUUGACUCCUCUAUUUGAGAUUGACAGGCCUCGGAAGUCAAAAUAAGUGGUUUCCUAGACCGGGUCGAGAGCAAGUCUCUAUUGGUCCCAACUGAGUUUUUUCAGCUGGUUUUUCAACCAAACAGCACCUCAUCUCCCAGUGAGGGGAAGGGAAGGCUGGGCUGAGAGCAGCAAGGCUGCUCAUCUCACCUCUCCCCACCCAGCCAUGCCAGCCGCCUCACCUGGUGGGGAGAGGUGGGCCUCACCUGGGUCCCCUGGCAGUGCUCUGUGAAGGGUCUUGACAUUGCACUGUAAUAAUAAAGGUGUGUGUGAAGUAUC